rnacentral:snRNA from 1 species
AGAUGUGAGGGCGAUCUGGCUGCUACAUCUGUCACCCCAUUGAUCGCCAGGGUUGAUUCGGCUGAUCUGGCUGGCUAGGCUGGUGUCCCCUUCCUCCCUCACCACUCCAUGUGCGGCCUUGCCUGAAUAGAGACGGACUGAGUAGCUGCGCUCCCCUGCUAGAACCUCUAAACAAGCUCUCAAAAUGGCAGAUGGCAUUGCUCUCAGCUCCAGCUCUACUAUUAUGCAGUCAUGGGUGGACU